CUGGGUCGAGCGGUUGCGCUGGCGCAGAUAGUCGAGCCAGGUCGGACAGUGGUAUCGCUCGGUCCAUAGCUCAGGAUCGGCGAUGUCGCGGGAAAUGGACCAGUCGUAGGCCCCGUUGCGCUGGCGGGUCGCCUGGACCUUCAGCAUGACGUCGUAGAACUCACGCGCCCGUUCGGUGGCCACGCGAUACUCGACCUCGAUGACGAUCGGUCCGCUGCGCGGUGUGAUCGACAAAUUCACCUCCGGCUCGGCCAGCGCAUCCACCGCGUCGUUGUUGGCGCCUUCGGUCGACGGCAUGCGCAGCCAGAUCGCAAGGAUCGGC
rnacentral:misc_RNA from 1 species